GAAAAGAACCCCGGGAGGGGAGUGAAAUAGAACCUGAAACCCUGCACUUACAAGCUGUGGAAGCACAUUUCUUGUGUGACCGCGUACUUUUUGUAGAACGGGCCAACGAGUUACGUUAAGUAGCAAGGUUAAGCACUUAAGGUGCGGAGCCGUAGCGAAAGCGAGUUUUAACUGAGCGUUCAGUUACUUGACGUAGACCCGAAACCGGGCGACCUACCCAUGAGCAGGAUGAAGCGAAAGUAAAAUUUCGUGGAGGUCCGAACCCACGAGCGUUGAAAAGCUCGGGGAUGACUUGUGGGUAGCGGUGAAAUUCCAAUCGAGCCCGGAGAUAGCUGGUUCUCCCCGAAAUAGCUUUAGGGCUAGCCUCAAGGUGAGAGAUACGGAGGUAGAGCACUGAAUGUCCUAGGGGGUAUUGCACCUACCGAAGACUAUCAAACUCCGAAUGCCGUCAUCUUAUACUUGGGAGUCAGACUGUGGGUGAUAAGAUUCAUAGUCGAAAGGGCAACAGCCCAGAUCGUCAGCUAAGGUCCCUAAAUGUAAGUUAAGUGGUAAAGGAUGUGGGAUUGCACAGACAACCAGGAUGUUGGCUUAGAAGCAGCCACUCAUUCAAAGAGUGCGUAAUAGCUCACUGGUCGAGUGAUCCUGCGCCGAAGAUUUCCGGGGCUAAAACUUACUACCGAAGCUACGGCAUCAGUAAUGAUGGGUAGGGGAGCUUCCCAUACGGGUUGAAGCAUGACCGUAAGGACAUGUGGACAGUAUGGGAGUGAGAAUGUUGGCAUGAGUAGCGAGAUGUGGGUGAGAAUCCCACAGGCCGUAAACC
rnacentral:rRNA from 1 species